rnacentral:rRNA from 1 species
UGGGGAAUUUUGGACAAUGGGCGAAAGCCUGAUCCAGCAAUGCCGCGUGUGUGAAGAAGGCCUUCGGGUUGUAAAGCACUUUUGUCCGGAAAGAAAUCCUUGGCUCUAAUACAGUCGGGGGAUGACGGUACCGGAAGAAUAAGCACCGGCUAACUACGUGCCAGCAGCCGCGGUAAUACGUAGGGUGCAAGCGUUAAUCGGAAUUACUGGGCGUAAAGCGUGCGCAGGCGGUUUGCUAAGACCGAUGUGAAAUCCCCGGGCUCAACCUGGGAACUGCAUUGGUGACUGGCAGGCUAGAGUAUGGCAGAGGGGGGUAGAAUUCCACGUGUAGCAGUGAAAUGCGUAGAGAUGUGGAGGAAUACCGAUGGCGAAGGCAGCCCCCUGGGCCAAUACUGACGCUCAUGCACGAAAGCGUGGGGAACAAACAGGAUUAGAUACCCUGGUAGUCCACGCCCUAAACGAUGUCAACUAGUUGUUGGGGAUUCAUUUCCUUAGUAACGUAGCUAACGCGUGAAGUUGACCGCCUGGGGAGUACGGUCGCAAGAUUAAAACUCAAAGGAAUUGACGGGGUCAUAGCUGUUUCCU